rnacentral:rRNA from 1 species
GGAGGAAAGCAGGGGAUCGCAAGACCUUGCACUUUUGGAGCGGCCGAUGUCUGAUUAGCUAGUUGGUGGGGUAAUGGCCUACCAAAGCUUCGAUCAGUAGCUGGUCUGAGAGGACGGCCAGCCACACUGGGACUGAGACACGGCCCAGACUCCUACGGGAGGCAGCAGUGGGGAAUUUUGGACAAUGGGCGCAAGCCUGAUCCAGCCAUGCCGCGUGAGUGAAGAAGGCCUUCGGGUUGUAAAGCUCUUUCAGCCGGGAAGAAAAGGUUGCGAUUAAUAAUCGCAAUUUAUGACGGUACCGGAAGAAGAAGCACCGGCUAACUACGUGCCAGCAGCCGCGGUAAUACGUAGGGUGCGAGCGUUAAUCGGAAUUACUGGGCGUAAAGGGUGCGCAGGCGGUUUUGUAAGUCAGAUGUGAAAUCCCCGGGCUUAACCUGGGAACUGCGUUUGAAACUACAAAGCUAG